AGAGGGCGUGAAACUGCAUAGAAGGAAACGUGAGGUGCUGUUUUUGCUGUCAGUGUUCAGCGGCGUUGAUUAACGUCACUGCAGUGCAUUCGUUGACAGCGGCAUUGGAACUGAUGGAUUGACCUGUUUGGCUUGAUUUUGGUCGCUGCCUUUCGUAGUGGUCAAAUUUAGUUGGGCAGUUCUAUCUAUUGGCUGAAUUUGCAUUCUGUGGGCUUUAUUGCGUCAAGGAUGUCUGGCGAGACGUUGAUUUGCAUAAUCUUUGUCUUAUUGGCUUCGUUUUCGCAUAAAAGACUUGAUGCUUCCAGUGUUAACGACAGUUUACCUCUCGACCCGUCUUGAAACACGGACCAAGGAGUCUAACAUGUGCGCGAGUCAAUGGGUAUCAAACUCAGUGGCGCAAUGAAAGUGGAUGUUGGCUCUGUCGACUGACACACGAACUGAGUUAAUCAGUGCAGUGUGGUCCCAUCCGCACUGUUUCUCAGUGGGGUGGAGAAAGAGCGUAUUUGUUGGGACCCGAAAGAUGGUGAACUAUGCCUGGACAGGAUGAGGUCAGAGGAAACUCUGAUGGAAGUCCGAAGCGGUUCUGACGUGCAAAUCGA
rnacentral:rRNA from 1 species